CAAUUCUGUACAUGGUAGUAGUAUAAUCCACGCUGUACCAGAUCACUCCACCCCACAAAGAAACAAUCCCAACUGGACCCAAUCAGUAAUCUUAGCUGUUAAACCCAUUUCAAGAGAGAGAAAGAGAAAGAGAGAAACCACAAACAAACAGUCCACAGUUUUCUCAUUUCAACUUUCUCCAUUAUUCUUCUCUUCUUCUUCAUUCAUUUUCAAAACUAAAUUCAAAUCAACCCAAACAAAACCCCCAAAAUUCUUUUCACCCUUCCAUCACUUAUUUAGAUUUCUUCACUUUUUUUUUUAUUGAUUUUUCAGGCGAAACAACGAACAACAAGCUUAUCAACUGAGAAUCUUCUUCUUCUUCUUCUUCUCUGAAGGUUAUUGACUUGGGAUGUUUUGUUGGAAGGAAGGACAGGACAGAGCAUAUGCACAGGUAUGAUAUGUUUCUGAGAAGCUGAUGUGGCAAUAUGCCAUUGGCUGGAAAAAUUAUCCAUAUGUACUAUCUAUUUUAUUUAUAAAAUUAAAUGUCUAAUUUAUACACUUAAAUCUUCUAAUAGAUCACAUACUUCUGGCAUAUACAUAUAUGGUAAGAAUAAUCUUGACUGUUGAUUAGGUUCGGUUGAGCAUGUGAUCAGCAGCUUCUACACAUGCAAAAGUCUUAAAAUGCAGAAUUAAUGAGUUUCCUUUAAUUUAUUUAAUUUUUUAUAUAAAUAUAUAUUAUAACUAAUGUACUUACUAGCUAGUAUCAGUAAUCAAGAACAUGUUUAGAACACUUUGGAUUUCGAUAUAGUUGAUCUUUUGGUGAGCUUAUAUAGUACAGCAGACUGACUUUGUUGUUGGGUUGGGCCUAGACCUCAAUUUUUUUUUCCUUCCCACCAAAUCUAAAAUAAAUAUAUUUUCCCUAAAAAGUCGAUCAUAUAAGGCUAUGUAUGGUAUGUUAGACUUUAUAUGUAUGAAAUGAAGUAUAUAUAUUAUUGUAUAAAGUGUGAAAUUAAUAAAAUAUGUAUUGCACUAAAAUUAAAAAUCGAAAUAUCUUCAACCAUUACUUAAUUUUAUGGUAUUUUGGAAAGCAUUAAAAAGUAUUAUAGUAAGAAAUAAUGUUUUCCAUAAUAGUAUGUAUUAUAAAAAUCUUAUUAUAAUACUUUUAAUGCAUUAGGGAAAGUUGUAUUAUUAAAAAUCAAGUUACUUUUCAUAACAUAUUUUAUGAAUUAUGCUAAAGUAUUGCUGAAAACUCUUUUAUAAUACUUUUUAAGUAUUAUUUUAAUACAUUAAUAUGUUUAAAUGAGUAUUAUCUUUAUUAUUUUUCAUAGUAAGAAAUUAUGUUUUCCAUAAUACCAUAAAAGUAUUAUAAAAAUCUUAUCAUAAUACUUUUUAAUGGAUUAAGGAAAGUUGUAUUAUUAAAAAUUAAGUUACUUUUCAUAGCGUAUUUUAUGACUUAUGAUAAAGUAUUAUUGAAAACUCUUUUAUAAUACAUUUUAAGUGUUAUUUUAAUAUUUUAAUAUGUUAUUAAUUUUCAUAAUAUAUUUUUUCACUUAAAAUAUCAUUAUUAUUUUAAUAUUUAUAAUACUUUUGUGACUUAUAUUGUAAGCAUUAUUGAAUAUACUACAUAACACUUUUUUUUAUUAUUAUUUUAUCAUGUUCAUAAGAUUAAAUUAUCAUUAUUACUAUAAUUUUCACAAUGAUUUACAAUAAUACUUUUUCUUAUGAUUUGAGAAAAUAAUUAUAACAAUAAAUAUAGUUUUAUUCAGAGUAAUAAAGAAUACAAUUACAUACUUACAACCAUGGUAGUAUAUGAAAAAAAAAAAACACAUGUAUCUCCUAAAACUAAAUCAUCAUCUCCAAGAGACCCAAGCUCCUAACUUGCUUGACAGUUUUUGCAACAAUCUUGUGUCAUGUUCUUUAGUAGAAAUCACUGCACAAAAUGUGAGCAAACUAUUACCUCAAUAAUUAAGAAUUUAUUUAUAACUCAGUUACCUCUCAUGCAUAAUCAGUGGCCAUCAGUUCUUCUCUUUCAACUAAUAACAGAGAUUAGAAACACUUUUAAGUAAGAUUCACAAUAAACUAAUAACAGGGCAAAAGAUUACCUGAUGUCACUUUUGAGCAAAAUCUCACAUGAUAUACUUAAAUCAGCAAUUUAUGCUUCUUUUACACCAGACUUCAACUCCGGAGAAGUAAGUUCGGACUCUACACUCUCCGUAGCUGGUUGUUUGUUUCUAAUAAAAUAAUUACUGUGUUCUAUUCGAAUUGAUCUUCCCAUAAACGCCUAAGGGGGAAAAAAAGACAAGUCAGAGAAUCUCCAAUUUAAAAUGUCUUUAUGAAAUUUGGAUGCAGAAUAGGUCCAUGCUUAUAGUCACAAAUAAUAAGAUGAAAUAAACAUGAUGAACAACGCUGGCACCUUUCCUUGAACAGAGAUUAGAGCUGCCUCAGAUUCUUUCUUUGAUUUGAAGGAUACAUAUCCAUAUACCAAGGAAUUUUGUAUAGUUUCGUGGAAUAUAACUUCAGUAGACACUACGCUAUGGCCCUCAUUGUUGAAGAACUCUUUGAGAUCUUUAUCUGUAGCAUCAUAUGACAAAUUCCCAACAAACAAAUUGAAUGUCACUUCUCGCCUCUUUCUGCAAUAGGCAAUUUUCAAAACUCCACCCUCCACUUCCUAUAUCAUUUGUAUUUCUUUUAGCAGAGAACAUGACACAGAAAAGAGAAAGCAAAUGUUACAAGUAGUCCUCUAUUAACUUGCUGAUAAAAUGAAGAAAAGUCAUACAAAGAUGGUAAUAUAGAGCUAUUGAUUUCAUCAUAGUAAUUUAAAGUGUGUAAAAUUUUAUAUUUGAUUCAAGCAAGAAUUUUAGAUUUGCUUUCAGCUCAAGUGUUUUGUGAAAGAAUUCAGUAGAGUUUUGGGCUGGAAUUCACACAACGAAUUGCAGUAUAACACCAUUAUUUCCAUUUGGUAAAAGAGAAAGCUUUAAACUAAACAACCCAGAAAUAUGAAAAUAAAAAGAAACGUACUUACUAGCAUCUUCUUGGGUCAAAGCCACUGCAACAGUGGCCAAAGAGACUAAAACAGUCACUGGUUGUGAUGCCCAAAGACCAAA